rnacentral:rRNA from 1 species
UACGUAGGGUGCAAGCGUUAAUCGGAAUUACUGGGCGUAAAGUGUGCGCAGGCGGCCGAGCAAGUCGAGUGUGAAAGCCCCGAGCUUAACUUGGGAACUGCGCUCGAAACUACUUGGCUAGAGUGUGGCAGAGGGAGGUGGAAUUCCACGUGUAGCGGUGAAAUGCUUAGAUAUGACAUAGAACACCAAUUGCGAAGGCAGCUGGCUACACGAAUAUUGACACUGAGGCACGAAAGCGUGGGGAUCAAACAGG